rnacentral:rRNA from 1 species
AAAGCUUGGCGAUACAGGGUGAUAGCCCCGUAACCGACGCUUCAUCGAGCGUGAAAUCGAGUAGGGCGGGACACGUGAUAUCCUGUCUGAAUAUGGGGGGACCAUCCUCCAAGGCUAAAUACUCCUGACUGACCGAUAGUGAACCAGUACCGUGAGGGAAAGGCGAAAAGAACCCCUGUGAGGGGAGUGAAAUAGAACCUGAAACCGUGUACGUACAAGCAGUAGGAGCACCUUCGUGGUGUGACUGCGUACCUUUUGUAUAAUGGGUCAGCGACUUAUAUUCAGUGGCAAGGUUAACCGUAUAGGGGAGCCGUAGCGAAAGCGAGUCUUAACUGGGCGCUCAGUCUCUGGAUAUAGACCCGAAACCGGGUGAUCUAGCCAUGGGCAGGUUGAAGGUUGAGUAACAUCAACUGGAGGACCGAACCGACUAAUGUUGAAAAAUUAGCGGAUGACUUGUGGCUAGGGGUGAAAGGCCAAUCAAACUCGGAGAUAGCUGGUUCUCCCCGAAAGCUAUUUAGGUAGCGCCUCGGACGAAUACUACUGGGGGUAGAGCACUGUUAAGGCUAGGGGGUCAUCCCGACUUACCAACCCUUUGCAAACUCCGAAUACCAGUAAGUACUAUCCGGGAGACACACGGCGGGUGCUAACGUCCGUCGUGGAGAGGGAAACAACCCAGACCGCCAGCUAAGGUCCCAAAGUAUUGCUAAGUGGGAAACGAUGUGGGAAGGCUCAGACAGCUAGGAUGUUGGCUUAGAAGCAGCCAUCAUUUAAAGAAAGCGUAAUAGCUCACUAGUCGAGUCGGCCUGCGCGGAAGAUGUAACGGGGCUAAGCA